UGGUCGCACGUACUCGCACCCCACUCCACCCCACGCCACGCACAAUCCCCUCACCGCCGCCCCUCUCCGGAUCGCCGCCACCGCCACCGCCGCUCGCCGCCGCCGCCGUCUGGAUCGCCGCCGCCGCCGCCGUCUCUCCGGAUCGCUGCUCCCACCGCCGCCGUCGCCGCCGUCUCUCCGGAUCAUCGGCCCCGCCGCCGCCGCCGUCUGGAUCGCUGCUGCCGUAUCUCCGGAUCGCAGCCACUGCCACCGUCUGGAUCACCGCCGCCGUCACACAGAAGACAGUGCAGGAGCUGCUGCCGCCGCCCGCCCCCAUCUCCUCCCCUGAUCCAACUAAACAUCCCGUAAACUAAAAAAGAGGGUGAUUGGUUAGGAUGCUGCAACAGCUAAUAAGAUGGGAAGACAACUCACUUUGCCCCUCCUCCAAGCACAUCAGCGACUCUUCGAUCUGCUUCUCUCCCUCGCAAGAUAUGGGAUUCUUAUAUACCAUUGCUGCAUCAUGUUGCACACAUGCAAUUCUAUUGUUUUGUGUAAGAGCCAUUGACUUUUGUGGAGAAGUUCGCAUCACGAUGGAAUUCUGCUGUCAAGGUCGCCAUGUCGGCGAGCUCAUUGGCGUCGUACUGCCCCAACAGGAGCGCCAUCGGGUCGGCGGCGCUGCUGGCGGCUGCAACCAUGGAUGAUGGAAAUUGUGAGUCCUGCAAAAUCUGUACGUGGGUUAGGAUAACAGGUUGAGCCAUCUGUUCCUCUAUAGUCAAACGCUUGAUUGGGAUGUUCUAUCCAUGAUGGGAUCAGAUUCAUGAAACUCGACCUGUUGAAGAAGUUUCAGUCCAGCUUCACUCACCGCCUUUCAUUGUCAUCGAGACAACCGACAUUGCUCAGAACGCCGCAUCCCCGGCCUACUCUCUCUUCACCCGUCAAUGCUCAUGUGCUCCGACCCUCCCCGACCCCUCCCAGCAAGCAGCAGAGUCUCUUGUUCGAGCUCCACCGGGCCGGCGGUGGCGACGUCCAUGUUCGUUGGGCGGAGCACAACGCUAGGGUUGAAAUCCACCAUGCUGCUACUGAUGAGGCUCUCCUCCUUUGUCCACCGGUUAUCAGACAACUGCGUAUGAGACGUCCACCGUCGUACACUCAUUUGAUCGUGCUGAUGCGCCUGGCUGUGGGAUGGCUUCUGCUGGGAUGCUCCGAGAUUUCACAAAUCCAUUAUGACGAAAUAGGGUGGCCGCCCGCUUUAUUUCAUGAAUCCAUUAUCGCCUACAGAAUAACGUCCUGGCCCUCCCAGUUUGAGUGAUUCUCUUUAUUUUGCUAUAUCUCAACUGUACAUGCAUUGUUUAUGUUCGCCGGCCCGCGCCCCCGUGUCUCCUCACGUUAAUGUGGCUGCUGGCCGCGGGACUGACGAGGAAGUCAUGGUGGAGCGGUGGUGCUGGCUGUGGCCUACCAGGAUACCAUAAGUUCUCCCUUGUUCUUUUGUGUUUGAAUCAGAUUUAGUGGUUCUUGAUUUUACAGGCAUGCAUCGAUCUUGCUCAUGUUUUGUAUGUAGGAUACACUUAAUGUUUUAUGGGAUGUUCUGCAGAUUUUUAGAACACUAAGGGCAUAUCUUGGCUUGAAUGCUGCUGGGUCGAUGAAGGUCAUGCAACAUGGCAGGUGAGUGCUCCUCUCCCCUUUCCCUCUAUGCUAAAAAUUAGUUCCAAUUUCCAUGCAAGUUCGCCAAUUUAGAUCUAGAGGUAAAGGUUCUGUACGAGGUUAGUUAGGAGGGUCUUGCUGGUGACUACUUGAACUCAAGUUGGACAACAUAUGCAAUGUCCAAUUCAGCGAGAUAUCAUGACUCGAUUUCACUUUCAUUCCACAGCUGAGAUCAUAAUUUGAUUGAUAUUUUUGCAUCUUUUAUAGAUAUAGAUUGAUAACAUUUAAUGAUGUUAUAGGAUAUAUAUAAUAAUUAGAAAAAGAGACACCACAUGUCUUAUGGAUCAAAACUGAUACUUGCUCAUGCUGGCAUCUCAAGGAAUUUUAAAUUCCAAAUACAGGUGUGCAUGUGUCCACUUGGAAGCUACUUGUUCGUGAGUUGUUCGAGACGAAAACCCAGUCUAUAUGAUGGACUGCUCUCCUAUUUUUUUUAUGUGUGUGCCUGCUCCGUGCUCUUUUGUUCCCAGCAGGCUAUUGUGUUGAUCCGUGGGGAUUUCUUUUUACCCUGCCAUUGGUUUUCUCUGUAAAACGCAGGUUUUGCUUACUCGUGGCUAUAUGUUGGCUUCGUGCUGGUGGGCUAUAGUUCUCCUGUCACAAAUCAUGGACAUUCAUCAUCGCAGAUUUCUGCUCCUGCUAUGUGAAAAGGUAAAUUCCCAAUGAACGAACCCCCUGAAUAAAUUGAUGUCCAUUUCAAACGAACAAGCUUACUUGUCUUAGGUGGACUGUCAAUCAGUUUGUUACUUAUGAAGUACUCAUGACAUUUACCCAAUUAAUUUCAUUGACAUGAUUUGAUUGAUGAAAAUUAUCGCUUCUUCAUUAGUUAACUAUUAAUUUUUAUUCGGGGCAAUCCACAACAUUAAUAUACAUGUAGCAAUGGUGUGCCCUUGGAACGUCCUGCAGUAAGCCCUCUAAAAGAAUCCUUAUGAAGUGUUCCUAGAGUUUGGUGGAUAUGACCGGAGUGAUAUUUUCAUAAGGAAGUCCAAGGCACAAGUAUGUAUCACCCUAAGACGAAUUUCUAAUCAUCUUAGUACAGAUUCUGAGCAAGAAACAUCUUACAGUAAAUCAUGUGCUGCUAUGUACGUCAUGAUGCUUCCUCCUGUUCAUCCAGGGGCUAUAAAUGUUAAGGAUUGCCUGACUGCGACAACUAUUGGGUUCCGUCUCACCAUGCAGUGUCGCAAUAAGGCCAUUGAUCCAGUGUAGUUGUUGGGCAUGCACAUUGUGGAAUGGUUGUAGCAACUUGCUGGACUGCGGAUCAGGCCAUUCCCUUCCUCAGCAGAGCAGUCGGGCAAUUUUUGGACUACAGAAUUAGUCCCGAGAGAUGAAGUAAGAGCCGUAGUUGAUCAUGUUGUCCAAACAAGGCUUGAUCCAACAAACAGAAUGACUUGAUUAAUUGGGCUUAUAAGUUGGUUGCAUCAACUGAUAGAUGCACUAAUGUAUGUAAGUGAAAUUAUCUCCUUGAGUCAUGAUUGGCAUAUUUCCUUGCUUGAUGAAGGUUCCAUCUCUACAUAAUAGUUUUCUAUGCAUAUGAAACUGCUCUAUAUAGACAAAAGGUGGACGACUACAAAUCCAGUGGCCGUUACUCCGUUGUGGACAUGGGAGUCGUCUGAAUUUUGUCGUCCAUAUAGCAAGGUUCUUAUGCAUAUCCUGUCAAGUAAAUUUUUUCAUGAAAAUAUGAGGUGGGCCGUGGGCAUCAAUCUUUCGCAGGUUCAGGGUUGAAAAUGUCGACAACUUUGUAUGGUUGAAGGAUAUUCCAAGAUUUCCCACUCUCGCAAGAAAACAACUUGGCUCACUUAUGAUAAGAUGUUCUGGUGUUAAAGUUUCUCCUCUUUUAUGGACCAAGAAGAUGAAUUAUUUUGACAACAUCAACUGCAUUUGUACUGACAGAGCAUUUGUUAGCUGACAGAGCAUUUGUUGUGAUGGUGUUGGAAGCGUCGUGUAUGGCAAAGGUAGAUCCCGUUGUAGUGCAGAGCAGAGUUAGCACCAUUCAAGUCCAUUAUUGAAUGUGUGGAUAUUACCAAAUGAUGUAUGUCUCAUUUUCAUAUUAAAGUGUGGCUUCUAUUGCAAAAAAAGCUUGCGGCAAAGCCGAGGAGAUGGAUUGCAAGGGGGAGAGAAGAUGUUUUCAUAGAUUAAUUUUUGUAAGAAAAGUAGUGUGUAUAUACUCUCUCUGUGAUUUAACUUUGACCACCAAACUUAAUUAAUGAUAUAUGUGUUAUGUGUCAUAAAAUUA